rnacentral:rRNA from 1 species
GGGGGACCUUCGGGCCUCUUGCCAUCGGAUGUGCCCAGAUGGGAUUAGCUAGUAGGUGGGGUAACGGCUCACCUAGGCGACGAUCCCUAGCUGGUCUGAGAGGAUGACCAGCCACACUGGAACUGAGACACGGUCCAGACUCCUACGGGAGGCAGCAGUGGGGAAUAUUGCACAAUGGGCGCAAGCCUGAUGCAGCCAUGCCGCGUGUAUGAAGAAGGCCUUCGGGUUGUAAAGUACUUUCAGCGGGGAGGAAGGGAGUAAAGUUAAUACCUUUGCUCAUUGACGUUACCCGCAGAAGAAGCACCGGCUAACUCCGUGCCAGCAGCCGCGGUAAUCCGGAGGGUGCAAGCGUUAAUCGGAAGUACUGGGCGUAAAGCGCACGCCAGCCGGUC